CUAGAGUCUGUCCUUCUGCAGUUCUGGUUUCUCUGAGUACGUGCAUGAGGAAACGAGAGAUUUCCCAAUCAAGGUGGAAAUUUACAUAAUUUGUAGAACUCCCAAGACACAGCUGUAGAUUCUUUUAAAACGUGUGGUCCGGAGGAUAAAAGCCCUUUUCCUCUCUACACAAAGAGAUCAGAGUGACCCAGAAGCUUCCUGGGGUGGGGGCUGAGAGUGUGUUUGCGGAGGGCAUCCGUGUUCCAGGCACUCGGUCUUCAGAUCCGUUCCAUCUCAAACCACCCGCAGCAGAGGCCCCACUUUGUCUCUCGCUGGUAAGCAAACUGGAAUUCCCAGAGUGUAAAUGACCCCCAAGGACGCCCCAGAUUCCAGCUUAAGGUCGCUCACUGCGUGGAGAGUCGGGCAUAGUCCCAUCACUCCCUUUCUGGGUUUCCCCAACGAAAAGAACCCAUCUCUUCCCCCUCCGCCCAAGAUCACGGUGUUCCUAAAACCUCCUGGAUCCGAAGUCCUCGGCCAGCUAGGCUCUUCAUUAAACACAGAUUGAACGCCCCCAGAUUCGCGUUCAAGACCCCGUUGAGGAGCAAAUGUGAAAGGCAAUAAUCAGGGAUGGAGAAAUUGCCAAUGGAUCUAUUAAAGUUGAUCGAAAUCGAUGUGCCAGUUAGCAGCCAAGCAUCAGCCCGGGCCCACGCCAGGCACCCGGCUGGGCGCUCAGACCAGACAUAGUUACUGUGAGAAUUCUACGGGGCAAUCACUGUGAGCUGUUCAGGGCAGAGUCCGCAGACCAAGCUCUUAAUAAACGCUGACGAGAAAACUGAGGUUUGGGGACUCAUCGCACCAUUAUUCCCCGGCAAAGUGAAGAUGUGCAGCUGGGUCUGUUUGAUAUCGGAGCAGAUAAGAACCAAUCAGGUCGAACAGGUCAUUGAUAACAUCAAUUACCUAAAUAGACCCAAACUUUCAGGAUUAAGUGCAAUUGCUGACUUGUUUGCAUUUUUUUUCCACCACCCUAAUGAAUUCGUGGGGAUAGAAAGUCCACUGAGAAGAACGCAUGGAAGGUUCCAAUGACCCAUUAGAAGCAUCCCCAGUUAAACUAUUGCUUUGUGAAAAUCAUCGACAAGUGACAUUGACAAAAUUCGAAGUGUCCACGUAUUUGUACGGACUGGUACAGCGUGUCUAUAAUGUUUUUCCACAGUCUGUUAUCUGUUUAUUUUUGACAAUUUCUGCCCCAGUAUCUUCAGCAGAACAGUC